AGCUUUGCGCAGUGGCAGUAUCGUAGCCCGUGAGGUUCAACCGAGGCGCGAUUAUUGCUAAUUGGGAAACCAAAACCGGAAGUAACAAUAGGUGACCAUGUGGAGUCAAGAGUGAAUGAGUGAAGAGUGUAUACUC